CAGAUACAAAUACUGGGAUCUCUGCACAUCCCUAAUAACUAAUCCUUGUAGGAUUACUUCAGUAUUACUUCUUGCUAAUGUCUGAUUGUACUGUGAAAAACUACAACCAGUGUUGUUGUUUUUUUAAUAAAUAUUGUAAGGUCCAAAAUGAUGUGAUAAUAUAGUUUUCAGUCAAUAACAUCAAAUGUUCUUGAGGAGGACCCCCAAACCCUCCGACUGUGUUGAGGCAUUUCAUUCUUUGACGUUUAUUACAACUACAGCUAUCUGGGAAUCCAGAGUCCUUCAGGUGUCAAAAGCUUCUGUAAAUGAACAUGAACAUGACUCGAUGAAUAUGAAUAAACCUAUCUGGAACAAUUCUAAGGUAAUUUUAAGUUAUUUCACUGCCAGUGUGUGAAAAUACAGGUCCCAGCAUCGUGGGCUCUUUGCACACACAACAUCACUGCUGCUGAAAUAAAUCCUAGGAGAUUUGUUUGAUAGGGGAAAACGCUGCGCUAUAUGUAUAAAAACUGUGAACUGUUGACUUUUUAGAGAAAGUGGAACCCUGACCAAACCCUGUUUAAUCUUCUGAGCUCCUCAUCCCCAUCGGUCCACUCCCUGCAGGCCACGUUCAGACCAACAUUAGCUCUGCGUGAAAAAACGCAGCCUGCUUAUUCAUUCUGAUCCAGACUGCACCAACCUGGAUGAACCUGGAUCUUCCUGCUCUUGAAUCAUACAUUUUGGGCAGACAAUGUGCACAUUACUCUCUGAGUGUCUAAAAUAGUUAGAAAAUGCCUGCUAAAGUGUGUAAAAAUACAUAUCUUGACUUGUAUAA